CCUGUGCAACAGGGGCAAGUAUCAUUAAGAACAUACUGUUUUGUUUUUUACAGAUAUGUCCAAGCUCAUGGGAAAUGAGUAAAGAACCCAGCAAAGCUCUCCUGGGUUUAAGGAGAGAGACUAACCAUCAGAAAUGCUUAUUGAGGGUUGCUACUUUGGGGCAUGGGAGAAUUGAUACAUUCAUCUAUUAAAACACCUUCCUUUCUCCUUCAUCAUCUUCUCCCUGUGUCUCCAGAUUCUCAUGUGUGGAGAGUUGCUGAACUGCUACUUCCAGAAUUACAGAAGUUAAACUAGGAGAAACACAGAACCUUUCUAAAAGAAUGCUACACCCAUGUUUCUGAAAACUUUGAACAUUACAAAGUACCGCUGUGCUUUCAAAAGCUCUCCCACCAACAAAUAGCACACAAAAGAAUAUACACUCUACAAUGAAGGGCAGAUGCUCCUUUGUAGAAUAAAUCUUACGACUGGAGAGAGAAACCUGGAAAAAUGUGCAGGAAGUCACUGAGACUCUCUUCAUCCUCUGCUGCCAAGACAAGCAAAGGCAAGAUGUCAAUGGGCUUUAGUCUUGCCCUUCCCAUCCUGAAGGUGUGACCCCUAAUGCACACCCCAGCAGUCUGCAGGAUGUCACUGACAAAAGCACCUUAUUAUGCAGAAUGCUUAAGAGUCUUUUGAAGGGCUGGGAUUUUGGAGCUCAGAAAGAUGAUCUUCAUCACCUCUUUGCCAGCAUGUGUCCUACUAAUCCACUAAGGUGUGUAUAUUCAUGAGCUUUCUAUUGUGUCCCAAGGUUUCUAACUGGGUAUGUGGAGGUCUGUGCUGAGAAAAUGACAAAAUAAGGGA
rnacentral:lncRNA from 1 species